rnacentral:rRNA from 1 species
GCGGCGUGCCUAAUACAUGCAAGUAGAACGCUGAAGAGAGGAGCUUGCUCUUCUUGGAUGAGUUGCGAACGGGUGAGUAACGCGUAGGUAACCUGCCUGGUAGCGGGGGAUAACUAUUGGAAACGAUAGCUAAUACCGCAUAAAAUUGAUUAUUGCAUGAUAAUUAAUUGAAAGAUGCAAUUGCAUCACUACCAGAUGGACCUGCGUUGUAUUAGCUAGUUGGUGAGGUAACGGCUCACCAAGGCGACGAUACAUAGCCGACCUGAGAGGGUGAUCGGCCACACUGGGACAGAGACACGGCCCAGACUCCUACGGGAGGCAGCAGUAGGGAAUCUUCGGCAAUGGGGGGAACCCUGACCGAGCAACGCCGCGUGAGUGAAGAAGGUUUUCGGAUCGUAAAGCUCUGUUGUAAGAGAAGAACGGGUGUGAGAGUGGAAAGUUCACACUGUGACGGUAUCUUACCAGAAAGGGACGGCUAACUACGUGCCAGCAGCCGCGGUAAUACGUAGGUCCCGAGCGUUGUCCGGAUUUAUUGGGCGUAAAGCGAGCGCAGGCGGUUAGAUAAGUCUGAAGUUAAAGGCUGUGGCUUAACCAUAGUAUGCUUUGGAAACUGUUUAACUUGAGUGCAGAAGGGGAGAGUGGAAUUCCAUGUGUAGCGGUGAAAUGCGUAGAUAUAUGGAGAAACACCGGUGGCGAAAGCGGCUCUCUGGUCUGUAACUGACGCUGAGGCUCGAAAGCGUGGGGAGCAAACAGGAUUAGAUACCCUGGUAGUCCACGCCGUAAACGAUGAGUGCUAGGUGUUAGGCCCUUUCCGGGGCUUAGUGCCGCAGCUAACGCAUUAAGCACUCCGCCUGGGGAGUACGACCGCAAGGUUGAAACUCAAAGGAAUUGACGGGGGCCCGCACAAGCGGUGGAGCAUGUGGUUUAAUUCGAAGCAACGCGAAGAACCUUACCAGGUCUUGACAUCCCCCUGACCGCUCUAGAGAUAGAGUUUUCCUUCGGGACAGAGGUGACAGGUGGUGCAUGGUUGUCGUCAGCUCGUGUCGUGAGAUGUUGGGUUAAGUCCCGCAACGAGCGCAACCCCUAUUGUUAGUUGCCAUCAUUCAGUUGGGCACUCUAGCGAGACUGCCGGUAAUAAACCGGAGGAGGGUGGGGAUGACGUCAAAUCAUCAUGCCCCUUAUGACCUGGGCUACACACGUGCUACAAUGGCUGGUACAACGAGUCGCAAGCCGGUGACGGCAAGCUAAUCUCUGAAAGCCAGUCUCAGUUCGGAUUGUAGGCUGCAACUCGCCUACAUGAAGUCGGAAUCGCUAGUAAUCGCGGAUCAGCACGCCGCGGUGAAUACGUUCCCGGGCCUUGUACACACCGCCCGUCACACCACGAGAGUUUGUAACACCCGAAGUCGGUGAGGUAACCGUAAGGAGCCAGCCGCCUAAGGUGGGAUAGAUGAUUGGGGUGAAGA